rnacentral:lncRNA from 1 species
AUGGGUCCAGCUGCCUGGUGUGGGAGAGGGAUGAUGAAGGAUGAGUUCUCCAGCCUGGAGGAAGAUGAGGAAACUAAGGGUGUGAGAAGCAGCAUAUUGCCCAAAGUCACUCCACACGUUUGUGGCAAUUUGGACCUACGCCUGGAACUCCUUGUUCCUAGUCCAGCAUCAAGUCCUAAAGAGCCUCCUGUCUUGGGUCAGUCUCAGGCCAGAUGUUUCCUCCAAGUAAAUCACGGGACGGCCUUCGAGACCAUUCUCAGGUAG